AACGCUGUUCCUAUCAUGGCCGCUGGAGCCGGGACGGCGGGCCCCGCUUCCGGCCCGGGCGUAGUGCGUGACCCGGCGGCGUCACAGCCGAGGAAGCGGCCCGGCCGGGAGGGCGGGGAGGGCGCGCGGCGAUCGGACGCGAUGGCGGGAGGAGGCGGGAGCAGCGACGGCAGCGGGCGGGCAGCUGGCAGGCGGGCGUCCCGCAGUAGCGGGCGGGCCCGGCGGGGGCGCCACGAGCCGGGGCUGGGGGGCCCGGCGGAGCGCGGCGCGGGGGAGGCACGGCUGGAAGAGGCAGUCAAUCGCUGGGUGCUCAAGUUCUACUUCCACGAGGCGCUGCGGGCCUUUCGGGGUAGCCGGUACGGGGACUUCAGACAGAUCCGGGACAUCAUGCAGGCUUUGCUCGUCAGGCCCUUGGGGAAGGAGCACACCGUGUCCCGAUUGCUGCGGGUUAUGCAGUGUCUGUCGCGCAUUGAAGAAGGGGAAAAUUUAGACUGUUCCUUUGAUAUGGAGGCUGAGCUCACACCACUGGAAUCAGCUAUCAAUGUGUUGGAGAUGAUUAAAACGGAAUUUACCCUGACAGAAGCAGUGGUCGAAUCCAGUAGAAAACUGGUCAAGGAGGCUGCUGUCAUUAUUUGUAUCAAAAACAAAGAAUUUGAAAAGGCUUCAAAAAUUUUGAAAAAACAUAUGUCCAAGGACCCCACAACUCAGAAGCUGAGAAAUGAUCUCCUGAAUAUUAUUCGAGAAAAGAACUUGGCCCAUCCUGUCAUCCAGAACUUUUCCUACGAGACCUUCCAGCAGAAGAUGCUGCGCUUCCUGGAGAGCCACCUGGAUGACGCUGAGCCCUACCUCCUCACGAUGGCCAAAAAGGCUUUGAAAUCUGAGUCCGCUGCCUCAAGUCCAGGGAAGGAAGAUAAACAGCCAGCACCAGGGCCUGUGGAAAAGCCACCCAGAGAACCCACAAGGCAGCUACGGAAUCCUCCAACCACCAUUGGAAUGAUGACUCUGAAAGCAGCUUUCAAGACUCUGUCUGGUGCACAGGAUUCUGAGGCAGCCUUUGCAAAACUGGACCAGAAGGAUCUGGUUCUUCCUACUCAAGCUUCCCCAGCAUCACCAGCCCUCAAAAACAAGAGACCCAGAAAAGAUGAUAAUGAAAGUUCAGCCCCAGCUGAGGGUGAGGGUGGCUCGGAACUGCAGCCCAAGAACAAGCGCAUGACAAUAAGCAGAUUGGUCUUGGAGGAGGACAGCCAGAGUACUGAGCCCAGCGCAGGCCUCAACUCCUCCCAGGAGGCCGCUCCAGCGCCACCAUCCAAGCCCACCGUUCUCAACCAACCCCUCCCUGGAGAGAAGAAUCCCAAAGUACCCAAAGGCAAGUGGAACAACUCUAAUGGGGUUGAAGAAAAAGAGACUUGGGUGGAAGAGGAUGAACUGUUUCAAGUUCAGGAGAAAGGUGAACUCUGAAAUGAGUCUACUUUUAAUGUUUUCCAGCAGCACCAGAUGAAGACAGUACAACCAAUAUAACAAAAAAGCAGAAGUGGACUGUAGAAGAAAGCGAGUGGGUCAAGGCUGGAGUGCAGAAAUAUGGGGAAGGAAACUGGGCUGCCAUUUCUAAAAAUUACCCAUUUGUUAACCGAACAGCUGUGAUGAUUAAGGAUCGCUGGCGGACCAUGAAAAGACUUGGCAUGAACUGAAACAGGCUUUCAUUUCCACAGAAUUCACAGGAGCAUGGUUCCUAAUAAUAGCCCCUGAUAGUCUGCUGUUUCUUUCAGAAGCUGGGCUGGGAUGAGAAUUUUGGGCAACCUCCUUCAAUGUGGGGGAGGUCCCAGUUCCACUUCAUCACUGUUGGAGAUCAUGGAGCUAAGAAGCAGAGCCAAGUCCACCCAUGUCCUUGGCAGAGAUGACAGGCACAGAGCUUGUGCAGUGCCAGAAUAUCAUUAGUGUUUCCCUUCUUUAGUGGUUUGCUUAAAUUUAAAUCCCUGGUAAUCUGUAGAACCUUCUCCUAGGAAAUGGUGAAGUCUAUUAGGAGCCACUUGUGACUCCAUGACCUGUUAAAACCAGCAAUGUGAGUAUUAUUUGGAGUAAAUUUUUUCCACGUCAAGUUCUGGCCUUCUGAUGGCAAAUGCAAAGGAACUUAGUCUGUUAUGAACCCAGGUUGAUGAGAGACCAGUCCUUGUGGAAUAAGAUUCCCUUUAAAAACUCUUUAGCCAGUUGUGACAUCAACCCUAGACCUGUCUGCCUUGGCAUUUGCUCUCACCGUCUGCUGGGCUAUGUAGGCAGGUUUAUCCUCCACUUCUUAUGUGGUUGAACCAGUGUGUUUUUUGGUAAAAUGGUGACUGUAGAUAAGCUUAGUUCCCCCACCCCCUGCCCCCUGUCCCCUGCCUCUUUUCCCAAUUCCCUUCCUUAUGCUGGACUUUUAAAGCUUAAAAAAAAAUCCUGAUUGAAUAUAAAUGCCUAAUUUCAUUCUUUGUGAAAUGGUUGCUUCCUUCUAAUUCCCUAAUUGUGCUGUGUUCGUGUCUUGCACUGGAAUUCAACAUUCCCUUCUCCUUUUGUACUGUGUUGUGCUUGCUGUCUCUCCCGGACACCCUUAAAGACUGUCUUUUUAGCAAAAAAUUUCAGUAAAGUGUUUUCUGUAAUCUUUUUUUAAAAGAUGAGAACUAAUUAUUGUCCAUACUUGUAGCAUUCUUCAUUAAAGUCUUGCUUCUCUCAACUGUAA